rnacentral:rRNA from 1 species
CACGUAGGGGGCAAGCGUUGUCCGGAUUUAUUGGGCGUAAAGAGCUCGUAGGCGGUUCGAUAAGUCGGGUGUGAAACCUCCAGGCUCAACCUGGAGACGCCACCCGAUACUGUCGUGACUAGAGUCCGUAGGGGAGCAUGGAAUUCCUGGUGUAGCGGUGAAAUGCGCAGAUAUCAGGAGGAACACCGGUGGCGAAGGCGGUUCUCUGGGCAUGUCCUGACGCUGAGGAGCGAAAGUGUGGGGAGCGAACAGG